UUCUUCAAACUCGUCUUGCAGGUUUCUAAAGCGCCGGUCGCAGGCCAGGAGUUAAAAACAGAUCCUGAAGCACAGCCUCCAUCGCAGCCUAAGCCAUGUAGAGGAAGGUGUUGAUGUCGGCCUCCUCCCUCUUUAUGUACUUGUGUUCGAUGAGCCACUCAAUCUGCUCCUUGAUCAUCUUCUUCUGUGGCAGGAACAUGUUCUUCAGGAUCUCCACCAGCUCCGUCUGCAGCUGAGCGUUGCUGAGCCUCUUCCUCAUCUUCAUGAUUUGGAUGAUGGCCUCCUGAGUUGGAACAAAACAGUGAAUGUUAUGAAUUUCUUUAGAAGCUGCAUUACGCCUCUGGCCACAGGCUGUUGUAAAAAUCCUUUGAGACCUUGUGAGUGUUGUAUUUUCAAACCUGAGUUCGGAGUAUUCUGAGCUGCACGAUUCCUUCGUUCUCCUCCUCUCUCAUUCGCUCAGUGGUCAGCUGCAGGCGACCAAUCAGAUUGAUCUUCCCUCGCUUCUGGACUUUGGAGUUCUUGCUGAGAAAAACAAAAACAAAAAGCAGAAACCAGAACAAAGACAAUCAAUAACCAGUCGUUUCUGGUGAGGCAUCAACACGCACAGACCUGCACAUGCUGAAAGCCAGGAGGGAGCUUACAUGAGGGAGAACUCCUGGUUGACGUAGAAGAUGGUGCUGUCGGUGAAGUCUUUGGGAGAAUUAACUGAAGGAUCGUAAGACAGCACCUGCCUCUUCAGUUUGGGGAAGGCGACGAGGGACUGAAGAGAAAGAAAAGAGAAGAAUAGAUUUAUGUUAAGUUAAUAAACAUCAUCGAUACUUGAGUCAUAGAAACGGCCAGCGUGUCAGUUCCAUUACUGCCGAAGCUAAACAUGGUGUUUACAUUUGAAAGGACUGAACUAUCUCUGCUUGUAAAGAUUAGUGCAGUUAAGAGGAAAUUAUGCACAAACAUAAUUCAUGAUGUGAACUUCCCGUUGUGUUUAAAGAUGAGAAAAUGUUUCAGUCCUAAAGAUGGUUUGUGUGUUUAUAUCUGCUGAUAAAUAUCAGUGAGCACAGAUAUGGAUCUUUAUUAUUGAUACUGGCAUAAUCAUUUCUUAAACACAAUUCGCAAAGACUGUAAUGAACCUCAGUGAAUGAACUUGUAAUUGUUGGAUUUGAAUAAAGCAUCUAAAAGGUCAGACCCAGAGGGUGCGUCGCAGCUCGGCGUCUGGCAGCUCUGUGGCCAGUUUCAGGUUCUCAAAGCUGAUCCUCUCUCUGGGUCGCUGGUUCCAGGCGAACAACACAGCGAGCUGGAAGGUCGUGACCUCCAGGUCGUACUGACCCACUUCAUUUUUAAAAGUGAUCUGAGCAGAGAGGAGGAGAAACGAUAGAAAAGUUUGUGAAGAAGUGUCGUUUACUGAUAUGAUGGCGUCAUGUUGCUCUGUGGGAUUUGUAACUUGACAAAUGCUGAAAAGAAUAAAUCAGAGAAAAUAUUCUAUA